UUUCCAUCUGUAUUAGACGCAAAUGAGCACACAAAUGGUGUACGUAAACGGGUUUGAGUGAAUGUGGAUGGCGACCAUCUCAACAUCAGUCACGAUCACAGAACACUACAACAAAACACACACAUUCCCCACAUGGCUUUAUUUAUCAAACCCCACAAAAUCAUUACAACGAGCAAAGACACAGUGUUAAAGGACUUAUGGCACAUAGCAAUCACAUCUAAGAAGUCCUGAGUCAAAUCGAUCAAGCAUUCAAGUUUCCCAGAAAGCACACUUACAUCUGCAAGAUAUCUGUUAAAGAUCAUCUGGAAAGCAUCUGCUGUGUACAAACAUCUGAUAGACGUCUUUAAGAUGUCAGUUUUACAUUCAUUCUAAAUCAUAAGCAUCUUCUAAACGUCUAUUUGACAUCUGAUAGGAAACGUCUUAUAGAUGUAUCGCAGAUGAGCAAACGCUCUAAAAAAUACGUCUUGCAGACGUCAAAUAGACGUCUCCGUGAUGUACGUGUGCUAUCAGGGUUGCUUUUUAGAAAAUACAAGAGUAGAAAGAAAAUACUGAAUCCCGGAGACCUGAGACGGUUUCUUUUUUUAGGAUGAUGACAGAUUUCAGCAUGAAUCUUGGUGAGAUGAUAGCAGGAAAAACUCUAGUUCGUGAUGCAUUCUUUCUGGAUGAGCAGGUCGCUAGUAAACACCGGCUUCUUUAUAACUGUGAUAUCAUACAGUGGGGCUUGGAAACGUUACGAAAACUGCAGAAUAUUUUACAAGUGUCUUUCUGGCAGAGAAAUAAUGAUAACGUAUUCUGCAAAGCAUCCACGAGACGAUGAAUGAGACAAGAAUGCCAGGCCUGCGCUUUCAUCGUGGCCUAUAAUUCACUUUGUUAUAUAAGGCGGCUGAUGUGUUUAUCUGCCGAUGUCGUAAAAGUGUUGGGACAACUCUAAAUCCUGUUUCAUGGCCGCAUGCCCGUGUCUCUGAGCUUUAAAUCUUCAUUUUCUCUUCAGCAGGAGAAAUAAACUGACGCAUUACGACAGAGUAACCCUGCCAAACCUAAAACACUUCACGUGAAAAGCGCUAAUCUGAAACGUGAGAUGUUUGUCGAAGCUAAACGUACAGCUAGGCAGAUUAGCAACUUGAGCUAAUUGUCACACGCAGAAAACUAGAGUAGCUUGUUCCCGCCACAAAAUAAAAUAAAAAGAUAACUGCGACUUUUUAAUCUCUCAAUCCGGACUUUCUUCUCUCGCAAUUCUGACGUUUUUCAAUUUUUUACGUAGAUUUUCUCAGUUUUCUUUUAUAAACUCGCAAUUCAAUUUUUUUCUUCCACAAACUAAAAAGUGAAUUCCAAAUUUGUAUCUUGAAUUUGACUUUUUAUUCUCGCAAAUUGCGAGCUAUAUCUCAAAAUUGUUUCUCAGAAUCGCAAGCUCAUAUUUUGCAACGUUCAUAUAUUGAGUUUAUGUCUUGAAUUGUGAGAUAAAUGGUCAUAAUUACCUUUUUUAUCCUCUAGUCCAAUUCACGCACUUUCCAUCCUAAAUUGUUUACAUAAUAAGAAUGAGUGUCCCAAAUCAUCGUACAAUUGAUUCAGCUAAUGUUACCCACAAUUCAGUGCGCUGGAUGAGUUUACGAUUUUCAAGGAAAGUGUGAGGAACUAAGCUGCCACCACAGCAGGCUUUAAAUGUAUGAAGCUAAACGUUAAGUAGCCUAAUAAUGAAUUAUAAGGUAAUAUAGCUUGAUGCUAACACUACGCAAAUGCAACAGGCUAGUGGGGUCAAGGUAGCAUAUGCACCAAUACUGGCGUGCCGUUCAAUUACAUGGGUGUUGGCAAACUUCUGAUUGGACGUCACAGUGAGGAAGGACAUCCAAUCAACACCUGAGGAUUGUGAAAUCACGGCAUGUUUGAAUCGACUAGCAUACUACUCUGUUUCUGCAUUAUGUAAAGAUUGCAUAGUCUGCAAAUGUUCUGGAAUACCUGGAUGACCUGCAAUACUAUAUCCCACAAUGCACUGCGCUCCAACUGACCUUCUAUUUCCUGUAACGGCAACCAAACGAACCAAAUUAUAUCAGCAGUGAUUGUCAACAUCAACCUCUGUUUUUUUAGGUUAUCACAUAAAAAGUCAACAUGCACUACAUACUAAGUAUGCAGAUGACUAGUAUUCCAUUCCAAACUAUUUUCCAGCUUACGGAGAACGUUUCCAGAACAUUCUAUCAAGAUUCUCUCAAAGUUACAAACAAUAUCAAUAUCAAUGUUCUUCCAGUAACAUUAACAGAACGUUCGUUCAAAGUUAUCUGGACUUUAAUGGCGUUCUCAAAACGUUGGCACUUAAACAUUGCUCACGAAAUGUAUUUUCGGAAACAUUUUAAUUGGGCGUUCAUCGAAUGUUUUUUUUUUAAACGUCACAGCUUACUAGUUUCAGAGAACUUUCAAAAAAUUAUUUCCAAAAUGUUCGCGAUGGAACGUUACCUUAAUGUUUUCUCUACGCUUCAAAUAAUCAAGAAAAGAAAAAGAAAAUACAUUUUAAUGUUAGCAAAGCUUUUUAGAACAUAUUUUUUAAUUAUCUGGGAACUCAAGGGCAAACGAACACAAAAACUACUUAAUAAAUCCAU